rnacentral:rRNA from 1 species
CCUACGGGAGGCUGCAGUAGGGAAUUUUCGGCAAUGGGGGGAACCCUGACCGAGCAACGCCGCGUGAACGAAGAAGUUAUUCGUAAUGUAAAGUUCUUUUAAUAGGGAAGAAAGAGAAAUUUGACGGUACCUGAAGAAUAAGCUCCGGCUAACUACGUGCCAGCAGCCGCGGUAAUACGUAGGGAGCGAGCGUUAUCCGGAAUUAUUGGGCGUAAAGGGUGCGUAGAUGGCAUAGUAAGUCUUUUGUAAAAAUGCUGGGCUCAACCCAGUAGGGCAAAAGAUACUGCAAAGCGAGAGUAUGACAGAGGCAAGUGGAACUACAUGUGUAGCGGUAAAAUGCGUAGAUAUAUGUAAGAACACCAGUGGCGAAGGCGGCUUGCUGGGUCGAUACUGACAUUGAGGCACGAAAGCGUGGGGAGCAAACAGGAUUAGAUACCCCGGUAGUC